UUUUGGAGAAGCUUAGAUGGUCUUGGACUCUCUCGUAUCAUAGCCAAAAACGACAUGGAUGUCGUUUUAGCUGCCGAAGCACACGGAUGUGCGUCCGGCAGCGUUGGCGAACGGAUAAAUUACCAGCCCCAGAGUUCAUAGACCAUCUUGCUUCGUACAAU
rfam:Firmicutes bacterium CAG:882 genomic scaffold, scf369